GAUCUUUGCCCCAACCAUACAAGACCAACAUUGGUUUUGUUAUGUACUUGAUAAGAUCAAAAAGAAGUUGUUCGUGCUAAACUCUUUGUAUAGUGAAAGAAAUGAAGAUGAAAAACAGUUGGAUCUUUUUAUGAAGAGGAACUUCGAGAACUUGCUGCAUUUCAUGGAUGAAUGUCAAACAUUAGAGCUCGUUUACGAGGACUUGCCGCAACAAAAAAAUAUCCAUGACUGUGGAAUAUAUGUUUUAAAGUAUUUGGAGAUGUGGGAUGAUGACAGGAAAUGAGGUGACAGAACCAUGCCUGAUUUCACAUUGGACGAAAUUCUACAUUUUCGUCGACAAUUUGUUUGUGAAUGGGUGUUGCAUCCUCAAAAUCUCGAGUUGAAACAUGUACGAGUAGAAGCAAGUCUCCCGGAUGACUUCUCAAUAGACUCGCUUCAGUCUUGAUUGGGAGCUGAAGGAAGCAAUUUUCGUGGCUGUAGCAGAAGCUUAGUAGCAAGGUAAAGCUUCAAUUUCAGGUUGUUCAAUGUUGAAUCAGUUCAACCAGGGCUUGAGCCGAUGCAAACGCUUCCAUGGGCUUGAAAAUGUGCGCGCCUGAGCUUAUGAGCCGGUGCAUACUGUGCUGAACCGGUACAUGAGUUCCAGGACGUGUUUUUAUGAAAAAUGAGAGUU